rnacentral:rRNA from 1 species
AUUGAACGCUGGCGGCAGGCCUAAUACAUGCAAGUCGAACGAGUGGCGGACGGGUGAGUAAUGUCUGGGACACUGCCUGAUGGAGGGGGAUAACUACUGGAAACGGUAGCUAAUACCGCAUACCAUCAGAUGUGCCCAGAUGGGAUUAGCUAUUUGGUGGGGUAACGGCUCACCAAGGCGACGAUCCCUAGCUGGUCUGAGAGGAUGACCGGCCACACUGGAACUGAGACACGGUCCAGACUCCUACGGGAGGCAGCAGUAGGGAAUAUUGCGCAAUGGGCGAAAGCCUGAUGCAGCAAUGCCGCGUGUGUGAAGAAGGCCUUCGGGUUGUAAAGUACUUUCAGCAGGGAGGCGUUACCCGAAGAGGAAGCACCGGCUAACUCCGUGCCAGCAGCCGCGGUAAUAC